rnacentral:miRNA from 1 species
AUUUACCUCAUUGACUGGAAGGAAUCCCUUUUGGUCGAUGAGGGAGAUUUACCUCAUCGACCGGAGGAGAGUCCUUCCAGUCAAUGGGGAGGCU